UGAACGCUGGGCGGCGUGCUUAACACAUGCAAGUCGAACGAUGAUCUCCAGCUUGCUGGGGGGAUNAGUGGCGAACGGGUGAGUAACACGUGAGUAACCUGCCCUUGACUCUGGGAUAAGCCUGGGAAACUGGGUCUAAUACCGGAUAUGACUGCUCCGCGCAUGCGGUGGUGGUGGAAAGCUUUUGCGGUUUUUGGAUGGACUCGCGGCCUAUCAGCUUGUUGGUGGGGUAAUGGCCUACCAAGGCGACGACGGGUAGCCGGCCUGAGAGGGUGACCGGCCACACUGGGACUGAGACACGGCCCAGACUCCUACGGGAGGCAGCAGUGGGGAAUAUUGCACAAUGGGCGAAAGCCUGAUGCAGCGACGCCGCGUGAGGGAUGACGGCCUUCGGGUUGUAAACCUCUUUCAGUAGGGAAGAAGCGAAAGUGACGGUACCUGCAGAAGAAGCGCCGGCUAACUACGUGCCAGCAGCCGCGGUAAUACGUAGGGCGCAAGCGUUAUCCGGAAUUAUUGGGCGUAAAGAGCUCGUAGGCGGUUUGUCGCGUCUGCUGUGAAAGACCGGGGCUCAACUCCGGUUCUGCAGUGGGUACGGGCAGACUAGAGUGAUGUAGGGGAGACUGGAAUUCCUGGUGUAGCGGUGAGAUGCGCAGAUAUCAGGAGGAACACCGAUGGCGAAGGCAGGUCUCUGGGCAUUAACUGACGCUGAGGAGCGAAAGCAUGGGGAGCGAACAGGAUUAGAUACCCUGGUAGUCCAUGCCGUAAACGUUGGGCACUAGGUGUGGGGGACAUUCCACGUUUUCCGCGCCGUAGCUGACGCAUUAAGUGCCCCGCCUGGUAUACGCCGCCUA
rnacentral:rRNA from 1 species